rnacentral:rRNA from 1 species
UGGCGGCGUGCUUAACACAUGCAAGUCGAACGAUGAAGCCCAGCUUGCUGGGUGGAUUAGUGGCGAACGGGUGAGUAACACGUGAGUAACCUGCCCUUAACUCUGGGAUAAGCCUGGGAAACUAGGUCUAAUACCGGAUAGGAGCGUCCACCGCAUGGUGGGUGUUGGAAAGAUUUAUCGGUUUUGGAUGGACUCGCGGCCUAUCAGCUUGUUGGUGAGGUAAUGGCUCACCAAGGCGACGACGGGUAGCCGGCCUGAGAGGGUGACCGGCCACACUGGGACUGAGACACGGCCCAGACUCCUACGGGAGGCAGCAGUGGGGAAUAUUGCACAAUGGGCGCAAGCCUGAUGCAGCGACGCCGCGUGAGGGAUGACGGCCUUCGGGUUGUAAACCUCUUUCAGUAGGGAAGAAGCGAAAGUGACGGUACCUGCAGAAGAAGCACCGGCUAACUACGUGCCAGCAGCCGCGGUAAUACGUAGGGUGCGAGCGUUAUCCGGAAUUAUUGGGCGUAAAGAGCUCGUAGGCGGUUUGUCGCGUCUGUCGUGAAAGUCCGGGGCUUAACCCCGGAUCUGCGGUGGGUACGGGCAGACUAGAGUGCAGUAGGGGAGACUGGAAUUCCUGGUGUAGCGGUGGAAUGCGCAGAUAUCAGGAGGAACACCGAUGGCGAAGGCAGGUCUCUGGGCUGUAACUGACGCUGAGGAGCGAAAGCAUGGGGAGCGAACAGGAUUAGAUACCCUGGUAGUCCAUGCCGUAAACGUUGGGCACUAGGUGUGGGGACCAUUCCACGGUUUCCGCGCCGCAGCUAACGCA